UUCAGAAUUAUGGGAUUUUCACAAGUUUUUAUUAAUACUUGGAAACAUUUUUUAAAUUGUACUUUUGAAUUUAAAUUUUGUUUCUCUUUUUCUAACAAUAUUCUUUGAUCAUUUUUUCUGAUAAUGUCACAGCAAUUAGUAAUGAACAAACUAAAAAGUCUGGUAGUAAAAAAUAUUUUUGUUACAUGUGUGUCGAAAGUGACUCCUUUCGUAGCUUUCUACCGCCCGAAAAGUCGCCGUUUACCUUCAAUCCAAUUAUCCUACGCAAGUAAAGUACAUUUUAUUGUUUUUGAGUCUUCAAUAGAUGGAAUUACAAAAGUAUUUCUCCCCCAAAUUUACAGCACUAUCACUUAAUUUAAUUCAUGAUUAGCUGACUUUACUUACAUCAUUAUUUCACUUUUAUGCGCGACACGCAUGCGGUAACUUUUGCAGGAUUACCAACGCUUAGUCACUUUUGCAAACUUAACCUUGGCUAACCUGUCAAUUUACACUUAAGAAUUACACUUUGACGCACAGGUAAUAAAAAAUAUUAUUGGCCUGUUCUUUUUAACUGCACUGAUGCACUGGUGCAAUAAGUUAAAGUGAGACAAAUAUAUUUUUUCUUAUUCUAACUUGUUGCACCAAUGCAGCAGUGCAACUAAAAAGAACAGGCCUUAUAUGUAACAUGUGCGGAUUGACUAUUCCUACUCGUGCGGGUAAACGUAUUAGCCUUCGGCUUGUGCGUUUGUUCUCGUAUUUGCCGACUAUGUAAUAGCCGACUUAUCGUAAAAUAUAAAUGUGUAUUCGUAUCAUUAAAAAGUGUUUUGUCAAAUUUAAACCUUUGAGUGCAUUUUGAGAAUCAUCUUGAUUCCAAAAUUUUUUUCUACCAGGAAUAAUCUGAAAGAGAAAUCCUUUUCCAAGUCUGAUUUUUUUAAGGGAAAAGAGGUAAUCUUUUUAACAGAAAGUACCAUAGGCAAAUUGCCACAAGUAAAUUAAAAA